GUAUGGUGCCUGACUUCCUGCUCUAUACUAUGAUCAGGUAUGGUGCCUGACUUCCUGCUCUAUACUAUGAUCAGGUAUGGUGCCAGACUUCCUGCUCUAUACUAUGAUCAGGUAUGGUGCCUGACUUCCUGCUCUAUACUAUGAUCAGGUAUGGUGUCUGACUUCCUGCUCUAUACUAUGAUCAGGUAUGGUGUCUGACUUCCUGCACUUACUGAGGAUGAUGUCGUACUUUCAUGUCAGCUGCUUUUCUUUGACCCCCCCUCUGGCAGGACCAGUCCAAAUAUAACAUGAAGGAUCCAUUGGCCUAGUGUGAGACCAUGAAAACCGUGAGGUAUCAUGGGUAAAUUGUGACUGGCUGAUGUACAAAUAAUAUUGAGGUAGUUAUUUACGAUGCAAGGUGGUUUGUAGAUCAGCAGUCUCGGCUCCUUUAAAGUCGGCAGCCAUGUCUAACGGUCCCAUUUUGUUUUUCUGGGUGGGAACAUACAUAGACUGUGUAUGAUUUAGUUGUAUUACCAUAGUUACGAGACUUUUCUCCUGUAACUUUCACGGGAGUGUUUAUUCAUCAAUCCUUUUUGUAUCAAAGAAAUACAUCGGAAAAACAAAACAAC